UGGCUCAGGACGAACGCUGGCGGCGUGCCUAAUACAUGCAAGUCGAGCGAACCACUUCGGUGGUUAGCGGCGGACGGGUGAGUAACACGUGGGCAACCUGCCUGUAAGACUGGGAUAACUUCGGGAAACCGGAGCUAAUACCGGAUAAUCCUUUUCCUCUCAAGAGGAAAAGCUGAAAGACGGUUUCGGCUGUCACUUACAGAUGGGCCCGCGGCGCAUUAGCUAGUUGGUGAGGUAACGGCUCACCAAGGCGACGAUGCGUAGCCGACCUGAGAGGGUGAUCGGCCACACUGGGACUGAGACACGGCCCAGACUCCUACGGGAGGCAGCAGUAGGGAAUCUUCCACAAUGGACGAAAGUCUGAU
rnacentral:rRNA from 1 species